CCUACGGGAGGCAGCAGUGAGGAAUAUUGGUCAAUGGCCGCAGGGCUGAACCAGCCAAGUCGCGUGAGGGAUGACAGUCCUAUGGAUUGUAAACCUCUUUUGUCAGGGAGCAAAGUGCGCCACGUGUGGCGCUUUGCGAGUACCUGAUGAAAAAGCAUCGGCUAACUCCGUGCCAGCAGCCGCGGUAAUACGGAAGAUGCGAGCGUUAUCCGGAUUUAUUGGGUUUAAAGGGUGCGCAGGCGGAAUGUUAAGUCAGCGGUAAAAUGUCGGGGCUCAACCCCGUCGUGCCGUUGAAACUGGCGUUCUUGAGGGAGCGAGAGGUGUGCGGAAUGCGUGGUGUAGCGGUGAAAUGCAGAGAUAUCACGAAGAACUCCGAUUGCGAAGGCAGCAUACCGGCGCUCAACUGACGCUCAUGCACGAAAGCGUGGGUAUCGAACAGGAUUAGAUACCCGGGUAGUC
rnacentral:rRNA from 1 species